AACGAGAGCUCAUGACACGCGAGCCCCCUCCACAACGACCUAUCGACAGCCGAGCGCGGGUCUGUAGCUCAGGCGGUUAGAGCGCACCCCUGAUAAGGUGAGGUCGGUGGUUCGAGUCCACCCAGACCCACCAACCGUGGGGCCAUAGCUCAGCCGGGAGAGCACCGGCUUUGCAAGCCGGGGGUCGGCGGUUCGAACCCGCCUGGCUCCACCACCCGGCCGAUUGGACCGCUCUGGCCUGCUGGACCCGACCCGAUACCUCAACUCAUCAUGGACUGGCGCGGUGCCCCGCGACGAGUAACCGAGAGAGUUGCGGUAUCGGCUCAACGCCACCCGCCCGAUUCCAACGAAUCGGAAGCGGAUAGCUCUUUAACAAUGUGGAAGGUGCGAUGCAUCGAAAGCGUACGGACUCAUCCUGGGUUCGUGCGCGGUAGUGAAAAGGCGAGGCCCGCCACUCCAGCCCCCGCAGGGGUUGGGGUUGGC
rnacentral:misc_RNA from 1 species